UUAUCUUAGUGGUUUUCGAACCACAAGUGCGAUCAGACACGAAAAAAAGAAUGGAAGACGCAGCCAGUGGAACCUGUUAUUCAACCUGCUGCUUGGUGGGAAACAAGAUUAUUGUUUUUCACAACGGAUAUAAAAAUAAAACCCAAUGCUCCAUAAUUACUUCAAACUAAACAACUGAAUGCACAGACUUCAGUUUCCAUGAGCCAAUUCUCUUCCUAGUAACCCUUUUACAUUCAGCUGAAAUAAAGUGCUUCCAUCUCCAUGUAGGAGCUACUAUUCAUCAUCAUCUCACCUGAUCCAGGGGUCAACAGCGGACCCUCCAGCUCCAGAUCGUCCUCUUCUGCCUCCUCCAACUUUUUCUUCUUCUUCUUGGGAUCACGGGGCUUACGCAGUAGAGAUAGCUCUUCUGGGUGGCGGAUAUCUGGAGGGGAAGGAGAGCACAUGAAGGAUUGGAAAGGUGUUGCAGACUGAUUGAAGAGGCUGCUGAGGGUGUUGAAGAAAGCACAAGCAGUAGGGGAGGGAGAAUGUCUUGGCUUGCGGUGAAGCGCAAUCCCUGUGCCCUUAUACAGCCAUGCGAGUUGCAGGCGUGCUGUCAAGCUUUAGCCCCACUGAGCUGUGCGAGGAGGCCAACACACACAGAAAGUGUGUAUCAAACUGCGUGUACGUGGGGA